CAGGUUUCAGCAGAGAUAUAACAAAUACAAUGACAUCUGGGCAGUGCUGACACUCAAUUCAUUGUUUGCCAUGAACAAGAUGUUCCUUCAGUGGGGGUGUGACUGCUGGUGCUGGAGAAACUGGCGAGUCCAUGGUGGCCGUAGGUGGUGCAGCUUGAGGCACGUUCGGC